AACAGAAAUGGAUUAAUUAGUGAUGAGGUUAUGACUAAAUCCCUGCACAGGACUCCCAAGAAGAGGAAGCAACAGAAACUGAAAUCAACUUUCAAUUAAGAUGGGGUUGGAGAUGAAGUGUGAGGAUCCACUGGAGGGCACAUUUCUUUGUAGGAUUAUGGGGAAUAAUUCCCUGAUCCUGUGAGCUGGAUCUCUGAGGAGACAGCAGAGGAAAGAAGCAAAAGAGAACAGGAAAGAGAAAAAGGAAGAGCCGCCAAAGGUUUUUGCUGUUGCUUUGGAGGCACACGGAGAAGUAACAGUGGUGGCUCUGGGUGCAGAAAAGGAGCAGGAAAACGAAGCCAAAAGGAAAAUCAGGAAGUUAUCCUGACAGAAGAGUUGAAGGAUGAGCCCUGGGAUUCACCACAAGAAGCGAACUGACAGGAAAGGGAAGCAGCAUUAAAGGAAGCCAAGGUUUGGUCCUAAAGUAAAGGAGAGUCUCUGAGAAGGUGAGACAAAGUCUCAGAGUGGAAGGGAGGAGGAAGGAGGCACCCACCACCGGACAGAAGUGCAGCCCCUGAGGGCUGGAGUCUCUCCCCACAGCGAGGAGAUCUCAUGUUCAUCAGACAACUGACAGCAGAGCCAGGCACUCCAGCAGGAAUGGGAAAUAUUCCCCACAUCAAUCUGCCUGCAGCUCUGGGAGGAACAGGCAAUUUCCCUUUACCCACAGGAUUUGAUCUGUCUAGCAGAGAGAUUAAAUAAUGUUCUGGACCCAGUGGGAAACCCCUCUCUGUGCUGAAGGGAGAAGUGAAUGAAAUGAGAGCUGUCCAAACAAACAUUUCUCAGCAGCUCAUCCAGCAGAGCUGGCUGUGGGUGGCUGUGGGCUCAGCCAGGGCUGCUGCAGAGCUGGCUCUGGUCACUGACCACUGGGAAAUGGUCACAGCUCCACCCCAGCUGGGGAA